rnacentral:other from 1 species
AUUGCGCUGCCCGGUGCGUCAGGGCUAGAUUCCCCGGGGCCUUAACUUUUCAAUCGGGAGCUGCCUCUGAACUGGACCGUGGUCCUAUUUACGCGGCGCCCACCUGGUCCGUAGGGUCCAGGGCGAACAAAACGUCCAACGGCCAGGGCGGCGCAAUU